CAAUAGCGUAUAUUAAAGUUGUUGCAGUUAAAAAGCUCGUAGUUGGAUUUCGGGACGGGCCAGUUGGUCCGCCGCAAGGUGUGUUACUGACUGGUCUGUUCUUCUUCGCAAAGACUUCGUAUGCUCUUCGUUGAGUGUGCGUAGGAUUUACGACGUUUACUUUGAAAAAAUUAGAGUGUUCAAAGCAGGCUAUCGCUUGAAUACAUGAGCAUGGAAUAAUGGAAUAGGACUUUGGUCCUAUUUUGUUGGUUUCUAGGACCGAAGUAAUGAUUAAGAGGGACAAUUGGGGGCAUCCGUAUUUCGUUGUCAGAGGUGAAAUUCUUGGAUUUACGAAAGACGAACAACUGCGAAAGCACUUGCCAAGAGUGUUUUCAUUA
rnacentral:rRNA from 1 species